GAUUUGGCCCAGAUAUGCCAGUCUCGUUCGGCAUGAGUACCUAGACUUGUCUCGUUAAGCCAUGGCAAAGUGACACCCACCCCUGAGUGCUCAGUGUACACACUGACAUUUUUGGACCAAGAUGAUUCUUUGCUCUAAAAUAAUUACCUGGAGCAGUUCUACCCAAUAGCACCGUCUGUAGCAAUGACCAAGCCCCAUGUCUGUGCUGAGGAUCAAACCCAGUGCCUCACGCAUGCUAGGCGAGCUUACUACCACUUGAGCCACAUCCCCAGCCCCAAACUGCACUUUAAAUGCUACUGAGCUUUAAUCAGUGCAGAUUCUAG
rnacentral:lncRNA from 1 species